rnacentral:lncRNA from 1 species
AUGACCCAAGUGCUUGGGCCUCUGACACCCACGUGGGAAACCAAGACAGGGCGCCAGGCUGCUGACUUUCAGCGUAGCUUUUGCAGCCAUUUGGGGAGCACACCAUCAAGUGGAAGAUCUGUCUCUGUUUCUUCCUCUCUCUUUAUCUGUCAUUCCGCCUUUCAAAUAAAUAAAAUAAAUCUUUUUAAAACAGAAUUCCAUCCAACAAUGCUUUUUAAAUGCAUAAGAGCUUCAGAAAGGACUAUGGAGACAGCUUCUGUCUGUGCAAUCAUGGGAAGGAAAAAAAUGACGGAAGGGCACCCAGAAACCUGGUGGCCCCAACAGCUGGGGAUGGAAAGUCACACCCAAGUUGGCAUCUCCAGUGUGGCGUCCUCAGGUUCACAAGUUGGCCUGGCCCCUGUAGUCAUCUUUUGCGUGUGGCUGAGGUUCGACACUACAGCCUCUGGAAAUCACACAAGCUUCCUUGUGACUCUUGGCUUCCAGAAACCUCUGCCUGCACAUGGUUUUGAACCGAGACUCAGAGAGUAGAAUGCAGCCUUCCAGGAGUGGCAGAGUAUGUGGAGACCAUGUGCUACCUUGAGUGGAUACAGCAGGCCCACCCCCCUUAUCUGAUCUUUGGAGGUCUUUGGAGACCUCCUGAAACUGUACUUUGUACCACAUUCUCCAUAUUCCAUACACACCCAUCAUUAAAUGUGAUUUAUAAAGUAGCAUAGUAUGAAAUUAACAAUCAUAAAAGAGAAGAAUUACAAUAUUCUAUAAGAAAAUUUACAUUCUCAUUCUCUUUCUCUCAGAAUAGCUUGUUGUCUUGUAUUCACCCUUCUUGUGAUAAUGUGAGUUAACACAAUGCCUAUGUGACCAGACUAAGUGAGGCAAAUGAUGAGUUAGGCUACGUGUGACAAUUACUUGAUAAUAAGCACUACAGCCUUAUGGCUGAGAUGGUUACUAAGUGACCUGUGGGUGGGAUGCAUGUACAGCAUGAUAUGCUGGACAAAGGGACGCUUCACGUUCUGGGUCGGACAGACCAGAAGGGUAUGAGAUUACCCCACGUGACUUAGAUGGCAUAAGAUUUAAAACACAAGUUGUUUGUUUCUGGAGGUUUUCAGUUACUAUUUUUGCAUGGCUGUUGACUGUGAGUAACUGAAACUGCAGAGAGCAAAACUGAAGAUAAGGGAGGAUGACUGCGUGAUGCUUCUGUGAAUGUGACUACGCACUGUGGAGCCUGAAGGACCCAAUUUUCAAAAUUGAUGCAUUUGAAGGCAACACCAUCCGGGACUUAAAGUCUCCUCCACCAUGUUCACAUGCUUUAGGAUUUGUGGAUCCCAAACACGAGACCUUACAUUUAUAUCUCACUGAAUCUUAUCCUAUUUAAUUCUCUUCCUCAUCUUAAUCAAAAUCUCCUGAGCCUUUGCUAUAGUAUAUUCUUUCAUUCAGUUGAUGUUAUGCAACUACAUGAUGAACCAGGUCGUUUACACUUUUGGCCAACAUAUGACAAAACUGUUUAGUGAAUGAAAGGAAAAAAGUCCUUGAAGUGAUUAUUAAUCCUUGCCUCUAGACCAUAACUCUAUCUUCAUGAGAAAUAUAUGAUAAAGAAACUUACCAAAUGCCUUACAGGAAUCAGAAGAGAACUAAGAUAUAUUGGCUGUCUCUUAGAUUCCAGUAGCUACGUAUUACCUAAUUUCAUUCUUUUUUUUUUUUUAACAAAGUUGUAUUGAGCACCUACUAUAUGCCAGGCUCUGGGUAUAUACAGCAAAUCAAAGGGUGUGUGUGUGUGUGUGUGUGUGUGUGUGUGUUACAUGUACAAGUGCUAGCAUGCUCAUUUUGCAGAGAAGGAGAAUGAGAGACUCAGAGAUGUGGGCUAACUCUCAGUGUGGAUGUGUAACAGUGGCAGAGCCAGUUUCCAGACCUAACUUCAACCAUGCCAGGGUCUUCUUUCACUGCAGGAAUCAUCUCUGAAGUCCAUACCCCCUGCAACUGCCUAACCCUCAAACACUUCAAUUUGUAGACUUUUGCCUUUGAUGUAUAAAGCUGUCUUCUAUAUUAUAAUUCUCUACGGACAUGAGACCAUAUCUUAACCCUAAGGAGUGAUGUGGAGCAUCCACAUCAUCACUCUACAAGGAAUCACUACUCUGCUGUGUUCUCCUGAUACAAUUCACUGUUUGGCUCCAUUGCUCCAUUUUUGUCUGUUACCACAGAUCUAUCAUUCACAAAAAUUAAUAAAAAGGAUGGGGACAUGGUGUAGCA